CUCGCGAUGUGGCUGAUGGAAUAGACCAGGAAGACGUACCAAGCGAAGGCGAGGCCGUGGGCGGCGAAGAGAGAAGAGGACAUCCCUGCUGAUGCCUUCUUAUGUCAUCCACUCCUUUCGAAAUGUGCUCUGCAGGUGUAAACUUGAGGGCAGGCAGACCAGACAAGAACAGAGUAAACAACAGCUCAAGAGCUUAACAACAAACUUCUUCAACAAAUCAGUAAAACUUCCUCUGCCUCAUCUCCUAAGACAUAAGGAGGGUCGGGGUGAUGCAGCACUUGUUUUUCAUGCAAAUGGUCCUGGAUUCAGUUCCUGACAUCUUCAACAGGGCAUGCCUGUUCUCAGCUUGACGUGCCCUCAUCUCGACAAUGCACUGUACCUCUUAUUAAUUCCUUGCCUUGGACAGCAGAAAGUUGGACUGAAUAUCUGCUGGGUAUGUUGAAAUGCUACAGAACCUGUUGUGAAACCUGCUCAGAUGAGGAAAAGAAAAGAACAACCAAACAGCAUUGUUCUAAAACAAGUAAUGAAUCCAAUAGAAAAUAUUGAAUCAUUUAUUUGUUUGUUUAUAUACCAACCCAGUAGAACAAUGUAUUAUUCUUGACUGUUAACAAACUAA